rnacentral:misc_RNA from 1 species
AAACAGGGGAAAUUCAUAAAUCUCUUGUUCUAACAGAGAAGCUACAAUGUUUGAAUACAACUAACAACGUAACAUGAUACACAUUCUCAUCCAGGUAAACAUCAAAUGAGUUAUAAAUCUGCGAAUGCAUGGUAAGUUUUUGAGUCCAUGGCAAUAAGUCUUACAGCAGCUACUAAUGCAGCAACAGCUAGGCAACUAAAAAA